AACGGUCGGCGGGCGAUCCGCGUCGGUCGUGCGAGGGUGGUAUGGUUCCCCCAGAGGCCGGUUCUUGUGCUGCCUACCCCUUCAGGGGAAUCGGGCCACUUGAUGUAAGCCUCCAUCCGGCGCCUUCCAACGGGCGCAGGAGGACAACAGGGCACCCCCCGCGUUCCACCGAUCCUCCUUGGUCGCGUGGCCCGCGGGGACGUGCGACGCUCUCGGACCCAGCGAACGCCGUGGGCGAGGACUCACGUCCCAGUCCCGAAAAGAAGCUCCGAUAUAAUGCAAGACGGCCGCUCCCGCCCCCCCGGGGGCGAGGCGCGGCGUCGCAGAGGAAUGC
rnacentral:misc_RNA from 1 species